ensembl:lncRNA
AGGGAACAAAGAGCCCCGAGGUGUGACAAGGCCUCUCAAUGCUCUUUGACUGCUCCAAGCAGGAGACAAAUCCCAUGGGAUCAAUGAUUAACACAGGCCUGACAUCCCCCAAAGCACGGGGGACCCCUCCCCCCUUCCCUUCCCUCCCCAGUCCAGGCUGGAGGGGAACUGGUGGCAAUGACUCAGGUGGGUGCCUGAGGCUGAUUUUCCCUGCGGGGUUUUCCCACUCACCGUCUCAUCGUCAGGGAUGGGGAUCUUGCUGUCGAAGUAGGUGGUGAACGGCUCCCCCUCGUCGCUGUCGGGGGGCUGCAGGGGGCUCCUGCUGCUGGAGAUGGUGCUGACCACCCCCCCGAGACCCCCAGGCUCCCCAGACACAUCCUCUGCAGGGAGAGAGGGAACGGGGGCAGUCAGCAUUCCUGGAGAGGCAGAAACGCUGCCAGGGGCUGCUGAGCCCCACAGGCACAGCCAGCCAGCACAGCCGAUGCUAAUUAAGUGAUAAAGAGGUGAUUAAAUUAAAAUAUCCCACACUGCUGCACCCCUUGGAGCCUGUUGUGUCCCCAGAAUCUCCUCUCCCACCCGGCUCCAGGCGGGAGCCAGGGAUUUAUUUAUUUAUUCCAAUUAAUUUUAAAAAUCCCCAUCCCAGGGCUGAUGAGGACCAGUGUCCCCAAAAUGAUUAACUGGGCUGGCUCAGCCAGGUCCCAGGGAAAUCUGGGACUGCUCCUGCACCAUUAUCCCAUCCUCUCCUGGCUGGAUCCCGGGGAAAUCCAACACCUGGACACUCAGGAGAUGCCACACAACCCCACACCUCUCCCAGCACCCAGAGAGUUCCAGCAGCUCCCAAAUGUGAGCAGCGAGGAAAGAGUGCAGGGCCACCCCAGCACAUUCCCAGCCUCUCCUGCAGCCAAACCUGGAUCCCAACUCCCAGCCAAACCUGGAUCCCAACUGUCCUGCAGCAAAACCUGGAUCCCAACUCCCAGAAAAACCUGGAUCCCAACUCUCUCCUGCAGCCAAACCUGGAUCCCAACUCUCCUGCAGCCAAACCUGGAUCCCAACUCUCUCCUGCAGCCAAACCUGGAUCACAACUCCCAGAAAAACCUGGAUCCCAACUGUCCUGCAGCAAAACCUGGAUCCCAACUCCCCCCAGCCAAACCUGGAUCCCAACUCUCCCCAGAAAAACCUGGAUCCCAACUCUCCUGCAAGCCAAUCCUCCAUCCCAGCUCUCCCCAAGCCCGUACUCACUCCUGCUCUCCCCACAGGACAUUUCCUUCCCUCGGGACAUUUCCUUCCCUCGGGACAUUUCCUUCCCUCGGGACUUUUCCUUCCCUCGGGACUUUUCCUUCCCUCGGGAGCUGCAGCUCUGGGCUCAGGGGGCUCAGACAGGGCAGAUCUUUGCCCAACUUUCCUAUUGCAUCACCAGCGGGCUCCUCCCAUUCCCGGCCUCCCAGAACCCUGCCAGGACCUCGUUUACAUAAAGGAUUUGGAGCUGCCCAGGUGUGCGGAGAUCGCUGCUCAGGAGAUUUCUCCCAGGACAUUCCUGCCCGGGCCAGGCUGGUUUGGCUGGUUCAGGCAGGCUGAGUGACCCCGGGGUGCUGCAAACCUCAGCCUGGCACCCCGGGGCUCUUCCAGCAAGCCAAAGAAGGGAAUUAAUGAAAGGAAGGAGGGUGAUGAGGGCAGCCCCCCCUGCCCCCUUUCCUGAGCCAGUCUCACCGUAGGACGCCUUCCGCUCCGUGUCCAAGUUUCCCAUGGUGGAGCCCUUCCCCUGCUCUGGGAACUGCUUCAAACUGGACACAUUGGCUGUGAAAAAGGGAAAAAUCCGGUCAGGAUGGAAAACCAGGGCUGGCAGGAGAGGGGGAUAGAGACAAAGUCACUUCCCAGGCUCUAUUUCAGCUCUGAGGAACCUCACAGUGAUGGACUCAACGUCCUGAGCUCUUUUCCAGCUCUGAGGGUCUCAGCAGGGAUGGGAGAGGGAAUUUAGGCUGGGACCUGCUAAGAAAGUCCUGCUGCUCUGCCCAUGGGAGCCCUGAGGGGCACCAACGUGCCAGGAGUGUCCACAGGCAGCUGGGGCUGAUUGUGAAACUCCGGAGGAGGAAACACACGGGGAAUUCCCUCCAUGUGGAAACCUUCUCUCAUCCCCCCUUCCCAGCACCUCCAGCACUGCCAAAUCCUCCCCUGCGCCCCCCAAACCCCUCCAGCACUGCCAAAUCCUCCCCUGCGCCCCCCAAACCCCUCCAGCACUGCCAAAUCCUCCCCUGCGCCCCCCAAACCCCUCCAGCACUCCCCAAGGCCCUGCCAGCCCCCCAGGCAGGGGGAAGUGGGUUAAGGGCAGGUUUAACUCCUCUAUCACAGCCUGGGCUUAAAUUCAACCCAUGCAGGAUCUGGAAUGGGGCUGGGGAGGGAGCUGGGGACGAGGAGGGAGCUGGGGACGAGGAGGGAUUUGGCAUCCUCUGGGCUCCAGGAGCUCAACCCCCCUCCAAGGCCAAGCCAGUGUCCCUCAGUGAUGACUUCUGGCCUGUAAAGCACCGAAUCCUCUGUCAAAUUCCAUCAGAUUUGAGGGAGAUUACCAUAAAACACGGGA